rnacentral:rRNA from 1 species
AUGUGGGAUGCCUCGCAGGACAGGAAGGCGUUGAGCGAGAUGUACCUGCUCAGCACCUGCGACGUUCUCGUCACCACCGGGUUUUCCACCUUCGGCUACGUCGCGCAGGGGCUCGGCGAGAUACUGCCAUGGAUCAUGCCCGCCACGCCCUUCUGGUCCACCGAAACGGGGGUGGUACCAGACCCGCCGUGCAUGCGAGCCAUGUCCGUCGAGCCUUGCUUCCACUCGCCGUCCAACUACGACUGUGCGGCCAGGAAGGAUGUGGACGUGGGGACACUUGUGCCGUACAUCCGGCAUUGUGAGGAUGCAAGCUGGGGGCUUAAACACCACCAUACGGAAAUAACUACCAAAUGGAUGGUCGGCUAUUUCAAAAAACCUCAAAUGACCAUUGUUUAA